AACGAACGCUGGCGGCAUGCCUAACACAUGCAAGUCGAACGAGACCUUCGGGUCUAGUGGCGCACGGGUGCGUAACGCGUGGGAACCUGCCCUUAGGUUCGGAAUAACUCCCCGAAAGGGGUGCUAAUACCGGAUAAUGUCUUCGGACCGAAGAUUUAUCGCCUUUGGAUGGGCCCGCGUUGGAUUAGCUAGUUGGUAGGGUAAAAGCCUACCAAGGCGACGAUCCAUAGCUGGUCUGAGAGGAUGAUCAGCCACACUGGGACUGAGACACAGCCCAGACUCCUACGGGAGGCAGCAGUGGGGAAUAUUGGACAAUGGGCGAAAGCCUGAUCCAGCAAUGCCGCGUGAGUGAUGAAGGCCUUAGGGUUGUAAAGCUCUUAUACCCGGGAUGAUAAUGACAGUACCGGGAGAAUAAGCUCCGGCUAACUCCGUG
rnacentral:rRNA from 1 species